GACGAACGCUGGCGGCGUGCUUAACACAUGCAAGUCGAACGGAAAGGCCCUGCUUGCAGGGUACUCGAGUGGCGAACGGGUGAGUAACACGUGGGUGAUCUGCCCUGCACUUCGGGAUAAGCUUGGGAAACUGGGUCUAAUACCGGAUAGGAGCCAUCUUUAGUGUGGUGGUUGGAAAGUUUUUUCGGUGUAGGAUGAGCUCGCGGCCUAUCAGCUUGUUGGUGGGGUAAUGGCCUACCAAGGCGGCGACGGGUAGCCGGCCUGAGAGGGUGUACGGCCACAUUGGGACUGAGCUACGGCCCAGACUCCUACGGGAGGCAGCAGGGGGGAAUAUUGCACAAUGGGCGCAAGCCUGAUGCAGCGACGCCGCGUGGGGGAUGAAGGCCUUCGGGUUGUAAACUCCUUUCGCUAGGGACGAAGCUUUUUUGUGACGGUACCUAGAUAAGAAGCACCGGCUAACUACGUG
rnacentral:rRNA from 1 species